GUGCAGGGCGGCGUGCUAUACAUGCAAGUCGAGCGGACAGAAGGGAGCUUGCUCCCGGAUGUUAGCGGCGGACGGGUGAGUAACACGUGGGUAACCUGCCUGUAAGACUGGGAUAACUCCGGGAAACCGGAGCUAAUACCGGAUAGUUCCUUGAACCGCAUGGUUCAAGGAUGAAAGACGGUUUCGGCUGUCACUUACAGAUGGACCCGCGGCGCAUUAGCUAGUUGGUGAGGUAACGGCUCACCAAGGCGACGAUGCGUAGCCGACCUGAGAGGGUGAUCGGCCACACUGGGACUGAGACACGGCCCAGACUCCUACGGGAGGCAGCAGUAGGGAAUCUUCCGCAAUGGACGAAAGUCUGACGGAGCAACGCCGCGUGAGUGAUGAAGGUUUUCGGAUCGUAAAGCUCUGUUGUUAGGGAAGAACAAGUGCAAGAGUAACUGCUUGCACCUUGACGGUACCUAACCAGAAAGCCACGGCUAACUACGUGCCAGCAGCCGCGGUAAUACGUAGGUGGCAAGCGUUGUCCGGAAUUAUUGGGCGUAAAGGGCUCGCAGGCG
rnacentral:rRNA from 1 species